rnacentral:rRNA from 1 species
UGCCAGACUCCUACGGGAGGCAGCAGUGGGGGAUAUUGCACAAUGGGGGAAACCCUGAUGCAGCGACGCCGCGUGGGUGAAGAAGCGCCUCGGCGCGUAAAGCCCUGUCAGCAGGGAAGAAAAUGACGGUACCUGAAGAAGAAGCCCCGGCUAACUACGUGCCAGCAGCCGCGGUAAUACGUAGGGGGCAAGCGUUAUCCGGAUUUACUGGGUGUAAAGGGGGCGCAGACGGCGAUGCAAGCCAGGAGUGAAAGCCCGGGGCUCAACCCCGGGACUGCAUUUGAAACUGUCAGGCUGGAGUGCAGGAGAGGUAAGUGGAAUUCCUAGUGUAGCGGUGAAAUGCGUAGAUAUUAGGAGGAACACCAGUGGCGAAGGCGGCUUACUGGACUGUAACUGACGUUGAGGCUCGAAAGCGUGGGGAGCAAACAGGAUUAGAUACCCCGGUAC